GCUACCAUGCUGCUUCACCCAUGUGACACAGAGCCAGCUGUAUGGUAACUAUCACAGUUAAUCUCAGACACUUCCUCUUUACCUUCUAUGGGCCAAAGUGUCAAAGCGCCAGACUCCAGGAAGCAAGCAGCUGUGUCAGCAAGCCAAGUGCAAGCCAGCAGAUGGGGGCAAAGGACAACAUCUCCUGUGUUAAUAAAAAAGACGACCCUGAAAACCAGAAUAGAGCACAGAGAAUAUAAUUUGUCAAUGUUUCCUAAUGUUUUCAAGCAUUAAAGGUGACCUGCUAAGGGGAAA